AGAAAAAUCUUUUACUAUAUAACAGGAAAAUAAAAAUAAUUAAUGGAUCAAUGAAUCUUUUUAGCAUGGCUAACAUGAUAACGGAUAAAAAAAUGCAGCGUAUGCUAAAAAACAUCGAAUGUAUCGUGAUACUUUCAAACUGAGACUAUUGGAGAAUGAGUCCAAGACAAAUGUACAAGAAUCUUCUUCAACAACUAUAGGUCUAAUCAAACGAAAAUUGAGUUAGUAAAUCAACGGAAUUCGUGCAAAUGACUUACUUGUUGGUGAGAAAUCAAAAAGAAUAUCAUCAAUUGAUACAUCGUUACAGAUUAAUGAUAAAGACUUAGCAGGGUCUCCAUAUGUUAACAUUUUAUCUAAUUCUGUUCCUAUUCUCUCUAAAGAUAUCUGUAUGAAGACAUUGCAUUAAGCCAGAACUCCUUUAAAAAAUAUUACAAUUCAAUUCCUACAUUAUUUCUUAGCUUUUCUCGAACGGAAGAGUUUUUAGAAGCGUAAAGUAAUUCCGCAUCAAACUGAAAACCUAACGUGGAAGCGAAUCUGAUCGCUCGAAGUAAACGUAAUGGAUCAUCUAGAAAGGUUUGAAGGGGAGCUAAAGGUGUCGAUAAUCUUUUUUCAUUAAGAUCAGAUAAGCCCCUGCCUAUAUUAAAACAUGAUAAAAUAGAAAAUGUUGUACGGUGAUACAAAAUCUAACCAGUCCAAUCUUCCACAUAAUCUUUAUCCAAAAAAUAAAAAAGACUGUUAAUAGUAAAAUCUCGUCGAUAAGCGUCUAAAAAUAGACGGAAAGAAAAAUUUUUGUUCUGUUCAUUGCACUAAACACAAAACCCCAAAAUAUACCGGAUUGAGGUGUCCCGAAAUCCAUUUCCGAAGGUAUACGACUGUCUUCCGUGUAUUUUUCAGAUCUUAAAUUAACAAAAUCGAGUGAAAAAUUAUUAAAAGUCAUCUGAAAAAAGUAAUCAUUGUUGUACAGAACCAUUUGUUAGGUUUUUUAACCGUUGAUGUUUCUAAAUGCUUUGAUUUUAAAGGAUUUUGUCUAAUGACUCCGAAAUUGCCUAUAUUAAAAUUUUGGGAACCAGGCCAUCUGAUGAAAGCAAAAAAGAUGUUUAAUCUUUUUUUUUUUUUUCAAACAACUUAUGUUCACUUUUUAAAAUAUUCUAGAAAAACCUUUCCAGUGACAUUACUUAAAGCAAUAUCAAUAUCAUCACACGGGCGACCAAGUUCGUCUGAGUUCUUCUUAAAAUUUAAAAGUAAAUCAAAUAAAUAAGUUUCAUUUUCUGUUAAAUGAAAACUUCUUGGGAUAAUUUGACAGGACGAUUCACGGUAACUAGUCAUUUGUUGCUCCAUUCAAUAACGAACGAUAAUUCCUACUAAAUGAUUUUUGUAGGGUAGUAUGGAAAAUUUAAAUUUAGAUCACGAAUUAGUGGAAUCAAGAAUUACUAGGAAGCUUUAUAUUUUGUGGAAUGUGCUACAAAACAAAAGAAAAAAAAAAUUUUUUUUUUAAAGCUAUACUUUCGUUCUUAAAACAUAAUUGGAUUUAUUUCUUAAUAAACACAUGAAGAAUUAUUUGAGGUUUGUUGUUCUAUUGAAUACCUAUUGGAUUGAGUAGAAGAUGAAACUAUUAAUGGGACACACGAUAAUCACUUUUAGAGUUGAUAUGAUUAAACGAAAACAUACCAUGGGGACGUGGUGCAUUUUUAAUAGCCUGCAAUUUGUGCUGUAAAAGCACAGCAGCACAUUGAAUGCGGACUGGAUUACCACUAAUAAUAUUUGAAUUUUGACACCGGCUUGUUCUUGAAUAUUUUGCAAGGUGACACCAUUUUUUCCAAUUAAUAAACCUAUACAACUAUCUGGAAUUUCUAUAUUAUAAUCAAGUAGAGGACCAGACAGAGGAGAAUUCCAUAAAAGAGGGUCGUUGAUAUCUACUAAAAGUGAAACUGUUUGAAGAAAAACAGAAAUUUUGUAAAACGUACAAGACGAAUUUGGAUGACAUAAAGGCAAUUUCCCAUCAUCGCUCGAUUGCCAACACUCCCAGAAAUAUUGAAUCCAGAUUGAGGAGUGAUAUAAGCACCCCGUGUUAUCAUUCCAGGCAAGCAGAAAUCUAAAGAAUCAAAUUGAGGCGAUGGAUGAUGAGGUAUUGUAGAGUAAUCAACUUUGCUAAUGAAUUCAAAAAAAAUAACAAGAUUUAUAACAGAAAGUGUUUUUUGGUUACGUAUGAUCUUUAAUAUGUGGAUCAGUUUGAAUGGAUUCAAUAAUAUGCGUUGAUGCUUCCGUUACAUUUUCUAGUAAACCAGUGAUUUUAACAACGCGUUCUUUCAAUUGACGAUCAUCACUAAAUAACAAAAAAUCACUUUUUUAUUAAAAGAAAAAAACUUACCGAUUGGAUAUUUGAAUUUUCGUAUUUGUUUUUUCCUGCAAUUCCUUGACAGCGGUACCCUGUCUACCUAUGAUUUGGGACACUGCUGAAUUAGGAACGACAAUUUUAACAAGAAGGCGUGAGUCUUGAGAAUUGGCUGUUGACGCAUCUUGAGAAAAAGACGAUUUCAUUAAGGGAAAAGACAAAUUAGAAGUUGUGUUGGAUUCUUGAAUACGUUCCUAAAAGAAAAGAAAAAUGCAAGCUAUCUUUUUUUUUUAAUUUAAAACUCCCAAAAAAAAAACAACUUGUAUCAAUUACAAGAAUCAUAGCAAAGGCU